UGAGGAAUCUUGGACAAUGGGGGCAACCCCGAUCCAGCGACGCCGCGUGAAGGAUGAAGGUCUUCGGAUUGUAAACUUCUUUUAUCUGGGAAUAAGAAACUCGUAGAAAUACGGGGAGUGAAGGUACCAGAGGAAUAAGCCACGGCUAACUUCGUGCCAGCAGCCGCGGUAAUACGAAGGUGGCAAGCGUUACUCGGAAUUACUAGGCGUAAAGGGCAGGUAGGUGGUUUGAUAAGUCUGUUGUGUAAGCUCCCGGCUUAACUGGGAGAGGUCAACAGAUACUGUCAGGCUUGAGUAUGGGAGAGGGUACUGGAAUUCCCGGUGUAGCGGUGAAAUGCGCAGAUAUCGGGAGGAACACCAAUGGCGAAAGCAGGUGCCUGGACCAUUACUGACACUCAGCUGCGAAAGCUAGGGGAGCAAACAGG
rnacentral:rRNA from 1 species